rnacentral:rRNA from 1 species
UUUAACUGAAGAGUUUGAUCAUGGCUCAGAUUGAACGCUGGCGGCAGGCUUAACACAUGCAAGUCGAGCGGGGGAAGGUAGCUUGCUACUGGACCUAGCGGCGGACGGGUGAGUAAUGCUUAGGAAUCUGCCUAUU